UACAGAGGGUGCAAGCGUUGUUCGGAAUUAUUGGGCGUAAAGGGCGCGUAGGCGGUGCGGUAAGUCCGCAGUGAAAUCUCUGGGCUCAACUCAGAGUCUGCUGUGGAAACUGCCGUGCUUGAGUGUGGGAGAGGUGAGUGGAAUUCCCGGUGUAGCGGUGAAAUGCGUAGAUAUCGGGAAGGAACACCUGUGGCGAAAGCGGCUCACUGGACCACAACUGACGCUGAUGCGCGAAAGCUAGGGGAGCAACAGG
rnacentral:rRNA from 1 species